rnacentral:tRNA from 1 species
GCUGACCGGAAAGCCUGGUUAAGACAUCGGCUUCCCAAGCCGACAACCCGGGUUCAAAUCCCGGCGACCGCACCA